rnacentral:rRNA from 1 species
CGCCAGUCUCCUACGGGAGGCAGCAGUGGGGAAUAUUGCACAAUGGGGGAAACCCUGAUACAGCGACGCCGCGUGAGCGAUGAAGUAUUUCGGUAUGUAAAGCUCUAUCAGCAGGGAAGAAGAUGACGGUACCUGACUAAGAAGCCCCGGCUAACUACGUGCCAGCAGCCGCGGUGAUACGUAGGGGGCAAGCGUUGUCCGGAAUUACUGGGUGUAAAGGGAGCGUAGGCGGGGAUGCAAGUUGGGUGUCAAAACUAUCGGCUCAACCGAUAGUCGCACUCAAAACUGCAGCUCUUGAGUGAAGUAGAGGUAGGCGGAAUUCCUAGUGUAGCGGUGAAAUGCGUAGAUAUUAGGAGGAACACCAGUGGCGAAGGCGGCCUGCUGGGCGUUUACUGACGCUGAGGCUCGAAAGUGUGGGGAGCAAACAGGAUUAGAUACCCCAGUACGA